GAUGAACGCUGGCGGCGUGCCUAAUACAUGCAAGUCGAGCGAACAGACGAGAGUGCUUGCACUCUCUGACGUUAGCGGCGGACGGGUGAGUAACACGUGGGUAACCUACCUAUAAGACUGGGAUAACUUCGGGAAACCGGAGCUAAUACCGGAUAAUAUUUAGCUUCGCAUGAAGCAAUAGUGAAAGACGGUUCUGCUGUCACUUAUAGAUGGACCCGCGGUGUAUUAGCUAGUUGGUGAGGUAACGGCUCACCAAGACAACGAUACAUAGCCGACCUGAGAGGGUGAUCGGCCACACUGGGACUGAGACACGGCCCAGACUCCUACGGGAGGCAGCAGUAGGGAAUCUUCCGCAAUGGACGAAAGUCUGACGGAGCAAUGCCGCGUGAGUGAAGAAGGUUUUCGGAUCGUAAAACUCUGUUGUAAGGGAAGAACAAGUACGUUAGUAACUGAACGUACCUUGACGGUACCUUACCAGAAAGCCACGGCUAACUACGUG
rnacentral:rRNA from 1 species